GCCCGGCUAGCUCAGUCAGUAGUGCACGAGACUCUUAAUCUCAGGGUUGUGGGUUCGAGCCCCACGUUGGGCG
rnacentral:tRNA from 1 species